GUUCUAAUGACAACCACCUGUUCCCGAUCAGCACACUCGCCAUAAAUACCCCAGACAGUGGCCAGUCUGAUUCACGUCUCCUGUCCAGGACUCAAUACACGGAGAGCAUUCGUCAUGCUUGGCCCGAAGUCCGAGACGAGCCGUGCUUACAAACCCUGACCGCAAUACAAACAAGAUGUGUGCCGAGCCGGUGACGCGGGGAGCCGAGAGCCGUCCCGCUGACCUAACCAGGGAAUCAGGGAGGAUUUCUUACCACAGCUGGUCUCUCAGUAAACAGAUGUCAGAGGCUUAUCUGCUUAUUUUAUCCUUCAAAAAGUUCUGCAAGUCGGUUGCUUCUCUGCCCUUUUCCUGCAGUUUAAUUUAUAGCGCUAAGAUAAGAUGUAAUCACAGGACAGAAAAUAUUUUCUAGAAACAUACAUUAGAAAGUUCAGGAUUUAGAACCAGGUACAAAAUGCAAACUUUACUCAGCAGAAAUAAAUCCACGUGUAACAUGUUUACUGUAACACUUUCUAUACAUGCCAUGGUUAUAAUGAGUUAUAAAGACGUUCAUAAGGCACGGCUCUGAAGUGAAUUAUUUUCCUACAACAGCACUG